rnacentral:rRNA from 1 species
UACGGAGGGUGCAAGCGUUAUCCGGAUUCACUGGGUUUAAAGGGUGCGUAGGAGGGCAGGUAAGUCAGUGGUGAAAUCUUCGAGCUUAACUCGGAAACUGCCGUUGAUACUAUCUGUCUUGAAUCCCGUGGAGAUGAGCGGAAUAUGUCAUGUAGCGGUGAAAUGCUUAGAUAUGACAUAGAACACCAAUUGCGAAGGCAGCUUACUACGGGAAUAUUGACACUGAGGCACGAAAGCGUGGGGAUCAAACAGG